UACGUAGGGGGCAAGCGUUGUCCGGAUUUAUUGGGCGUAAAGAGCGUGUAGGCGGUCAGGUAGGUCCGUUGUGAAAAACUCGAGGCUCAACCUCGAGACGCCGAUGGAAACCAUCUGACUAGAGUCCGGAAGAGGAGAGUGGAAUUCCUGGUGUAGCGGUGAAAUGCGCAGAUAUCAGGAAGAACACCCGUGGCUAAGGCGGCUCUCUAGUACGGUACUGACGCUGAGACGCGAAAGCAUGGGGAGCAAACAGG
rnacentral:rRNA from 1 species